GACUGUUUGAGGGUUUUUAUUGGUUUGUGGUAGUUUAUUUUGAUACGGGAGGAUUUAGAAGCUGCUGUGCUGCGUCUGGGAACAGCUGACGCAUCACUAAGGUGGUUUUAGAGUCUCCCUCCUGUCGGGUUUCACAUUUUCAGCUGACUUUAAACUGCUGUUGCUGGUUGCCAGGGUUACCAUGGGUGACCAAGCGGCAGAGGAAGAGGAGCAGGGAGCAGCAGGAGGAAGGUGCCUCAGUGAAGCUCAGACACAAGUGUUGGACAGGUGUCUGCACGCGCUCAGGCACGCGAAGAAUGACAGCCAGACGUUAGCGGCUCUGAUGCUGAUAACGCGGCUGUGCCCUGCCAGCCAGCUGGACCCGGCUACCAUGCGGCGGGUGUUUGAGGCGGUGGGCCCGGCCCUCCCGGCCCGGCUGCUGGUCACUGCCCUGCGGGACGCCGGGGGGGCGGGACUUCCUCCCCAGGAGCUGCUGUCUCUGGGUUCCGCCCUGCUGGCCGCCCUCAGCACCGACCCCAACAUGGCCGCCCGGCCCCAGCUGCUCGCCACCGUGCCGCUGCUGCUGGGCCUGCUGGCCGACGGGCCGGGGUCGCAGCAGCAGAACCGGGCCGAGGCGGAUCCGGAGGCCCGGCCCGGAGGGAGCGGGGGCGAGGGGGACGAGAGCAGGAGGUCAGAGGUCAAGUCUCUGGACGAAGCCGUGGUGGCGGACUGCUUCCAGGUUCUGAUGGCCGUGUUAGGGCUCCUCCGGGGCCCGGAGCGACUCCUGGCCCGGGGUGCGGUGCCGGCCCUGUGCCGGGCCGCGGGUCAGAACCGCUGCCACCAGAGGGCGCUGUCGCUGCUGGGCUGCCUGCUGUCCACAACCAGAGAGGAAGCCUGGCGCAAACACCCGGCAGAACUCCUCUCUCUGCUGCUCAGGCUCUGCUCGGAGUUCUGCCGGGCCUCGGACCCGACCCGGCUCCAGAUGUGCGCCCAGCUGGUGCGGUUCCUGCCGCCGCCAGAGGCGGCGCUGCAGAGCGCGGAGCUGAGAGAGGCGGUGGGCAGAGUGUGGGCGGCGCUGAGACCCACGCUGCAGGCCAAGCUGACGCCCAAACAGAUCGGGCCGGUUCUGGUUCUGAGUGCCUGCUUAUUGGACCUGUAUGGCUGGGAGUCGGUGGGUCCGGCCCGGUUCUGCUGCCUGCUGGUGAACCGGGCCUGUGUGGAGGUCCGGAUGGGUCUGGAAGAACCGCCUGGGAACGAUCCGAGUCCAGAGCUGCAGAACACACUGACAGGAUGCUACCGCAUCAUGGAGGCGGCCAUGGAGCAGGCCUGCACCGCCGGCGCCGCGGCGCCACCUCACUGCUCCGCUCUGAGCGCGCUCAGUCUGCAGCAGAGCCGGCAGGUUCUGGAGGUUCUGCAGGAGGCGUUCUCCGCCGUCAUCUUCUACCUGCAGCAGGUGGAGUCCGACCGCUUCUCCGACCCGUUUGUGCUGGCGACGUUCCGGGCGCUCUGCGCCUGGCUGGCCGAGGAGACUUCCUGUCUGAAGGAGGAAGUGACCGCUCUGCUGCCCUUCCUGAUUGGCUAUGCCCGGCGCCACCUGCAGGAGGGAGCCGCCGAGCCGAGCCUCUCUGAUUGGACGGCCCGGCUGUCCUUCAGCGAGGGGGGCGGGACUUGGACGGGCACCGGGGCUCUCAGGUACCUGCUACCCGCCCUGUGCCACCUGUCGGCGGAGGACGCCCCCAGGAAGGUGCUGCUCAGCGUGGAUGCCCCGGCGCUGUUGGUGGACUUCCUGAUCCGGACCUGGACCGACCUGAGGGGGCGGAGCCUGACGGCGCUUCCCAGAGACCCCAGCAUGGAGACGGCGUGCUCCGCCCUCCUGAACGUGACGGUGACGGAGCCGGACAGCGUCAGGAAGGAUCCGUGUUUCAGAACCCUGGAGGUCCACCUGAGUGAAGCACUUCCUGUUCUGAUGAAUAAGCCCCGCCUCCUGGUCCUAGCAGCCAAUUACUGCACUCUGGGGCUGAUGAUUGGCCGGCUAAAGGCUUCAACUGGAGGUCCGGUGGAUGCGGGCCAGAGACGUUUCUUCUCUGUAACCCUGCGGUUCCUGCGCGGCGCCCUGCGUCCCGGUUCCGGUUCUGGUCCGGUUCAGGUGAGCGCAGACUGGGAAGAGAGCUGGGACGAGGCGGCGGAGCUGUGGCGUCUGUCCCUGCAGGCGCUGGGCGGCUGCGUCCGGGCUCAGCCGUGGCUCUCUGGGCUGAUCCGGGACGAAGGCUGGCUGCGGCACACCGUGGGCGUCCUGACGCAGAGCAGCGCCGCGCCAGAGCGCCACAGCCAGGAGGCGCUGGAGGAGGCGCUGUGCGCCGUGGCGGAGCGCUGCCCGGACUGCCGGCGGGAGGUCCGGGAGGCCAUGAGGAGCGGCGGGGCUCUGGGCCGCAUGAAGAGGCUGAAGGCGGCGGUGGGACUUAAAGAUUAAAGGAGGUUCUGCUGAACUGCCUGGUGUGCUCUUUACCUGGCUCUGGACCGGCUCCUGGUUCUGAUCAGUUCUCUCUGCCGCCACCAGGUGGCGCACUGACUCCAGCCAUCAGUUUCUGCAGACCAACAGAAUUUUCCCGUUUUCCGGAUGUUUUCUGAGUUCUGGACAGGUUCUGACCCGUCUCUGAUGAUAUAAAAACAGGAACCAGAACCUCCUUUUUAAAAUAAUUUAUUUUGUAACGAAAAGCAUAAAACCAAUCAGGAGAUCACGAGUCUUCAAUGAUCCGGCUGGGAUCAGAACCGGAACAUUCUGAUGGGUUUGGACCGAAUUACACUCUAGAUUCUGAUAGUUAUGUUCUUCUUAAAAACAUGUAUUUAAAUUAUAGCCU